UAAGACACCAUUUUCUAUCCUAAAUACCAUAUCCAAAUAACAACCUCUCUCUCUCUCUAGAAAGUUCAGAGAUUCUUAGUACCCCCAGCUUAGCGGUAAAUGGCCAGCCUUGGUCUGGUUCGGCUAGUUCCGGCUCUUUUGCCAGCCUUGACUCUUUGGAGUGCCGGUCUUUGACGGAUGCUGGCAGGAGAGGAAGAUGGGAGCUGACAAAAGUGAUGGAGUUAAAAGAGCACAAGAUAUUUUGGCCUACUAUCAAGCUUUUUGGACGAAAGAAAUUAAGGCAUGACCUCUUAUCUGUUUUUGGUUUUCAUCGUCUCUAAUGCGAGAUGUAGGUGUCUUCAAUAGUUGAUUGGGUUUGAUUUAUAUUUGAGAUUCCUCAUCUUUCAAAAUUUUUGUGCUUCCAAAAUUUCAUCAUGCGACAUGACAAACUCAAGAAUCAUUAGUACUAUAUCUUAAGGAGUGGGCUUCUUGUUGAGCUUCUGAUCUGUAUAGUAAGCUGUUAUGGUAGCUGCAACUCUCUGGUCUCAGGCGGCUGUAUUGAAGAAGAUGGUAAAAGAGGCUGCUCGAUGGAGGGUUUUAGGCCAGGGGCAUCACUGUUAUUUUCUAAUAUUUCUCAUCCUUUGGGCUGAUAUUGUUAAGGGCUAUAUGCCUAUUUUAAACUUUCAAAAGGGCUUUAGGCCCGUUUACAUAAACCCUCAUGCGGAUUAUGUUGUUGGGACUUUUGGUCCCUUGAGUUGGUGUUUUUCUGCCUACUUGCCUUGUAAUUUGUAUGUACUGUCUUGGGUGUUUUGCCCAUUUUGAUUGCAGCUCUUCAUUUUAUUGACCAAGAAAAAUACCACAGCCAAAUUUUUUCUGA